AGGGGACCCAUUGACAGAGAAGGUAGCAUUCUUCAUUCUUACAUUCAUUCUUACAUUAUAAGAAGGGAUAUUGGCAAGAUAAUUGGUGUCCUCUUUUGGAAACCUCAAUGUUCCCUCUGCCAUUCCUGAUUUUUGUGUGUCAGUGGGGUGGGGGGAGGGGCGCUUUGAGCAGAAGAAAGGACUUCUCUGGGAAUGCCUUGUCACUCCCAAGUUGAGAGAGUAAAACUCUGUUAUAGAAGUCUUCAGUAUAUCAGAGACAUGAAAAAGAAGGGUUCCCAUGCUUCCAAUUAGAUAUAGGACAUUAGUCUCACCAUCACCUAGGAAGCUUCUAUACUGGCUGUGAUGCUUGGUCCCAGCAUAAGCCCUGUAACUGCUUGUCAGGAUGCAAAGAGCACUGUAGGAGCAGUAAGGAGACUGUGCUGGUGUGUCUGUUCUGCUCUGAACUAAUGUAGGUAAUGGUGUGUUUUCAAGCAAAGUUACUUGACCUCCCUCAGCCACCAUUUCCACAUCUGUGAAAUAAAAGUGAUGAUCUUCCUGACCCCCUGAGUUGACAUCUGGGGCUCAGAUGUAACCCUAACCGUAACCCUUUAUGACCCUCUGAGUUGACAUCUGGCUCUCAGCUUGUUGCUCUGGUGUGGCUGAGUGGCUCUGCCAUCUCAGUGGGCCUUGCCUCUCCCUGGUCAGACUGCAGCACAAGCUGGUUCUCCUGCAGCAACAGUGUGAAGAGAAACAGCAGCUCUUUGAGUCCCUCCAGUCAGAGUUACAAAUCUAUGAGGCACUUUAUGGCAAUUCCAAGAAGGGGCUGAAAGCUUACAGCUUGGAUGUCUGUCACCAAAUCCCUUUGAGCAGUGACUUGAGCCACCUGGUGGCAGAGGUAUGA
rnacentral:lncRNA from 1 species